AAUAGAUACCCCGGUAGUCCACGCCGUAACCGAUGAGUGCUAAGUGUUAGGGGUUCCGCCCGUUAGUGCUGCAGCUAACGCAUUAAGCACUCCGCCUGGGGAGUACGGUCGCAAGACUGAAACUCAAAGGAAUUGACGGGGGCCCGCACAAGCGGUGGAGCAUGUGGUUUAAUUCGAAGCAACGCGAAGAACCUUACCAGGUCUUGACAUCCUCUGACAACCCUAGAGAUAGGGCUUUCCCUUCGGGGACAGAGUGACAGGUGGUGCAUGGUUGUCGUCAGCUCGUGUCGUGAGAUGUUGGGUUAAGUCCCGCAACGAGCGCAACCCUUGAUCUUAGUUGCCAGCAUUCAGUUGGGCACUCUAAGGUGACUGCCGGUGACAAACCGGGAGGAAGGUGGGGAUGACGUCAAAUCAUCAUGCCCCUUAUGACCUGGGGCUGCACACGUGCUACAAUGGACAGAACAAAGGGCUGCGAGACCGCAAGGUUUAGCCAAUCCCACAAAUCUGUUCUCAGUUCGGAUCGC
rnacentral:rRNA from 1 species